UACGGAGGGUGCAAGCGUUAUCCGGAUUCACUGGGUUUAAAGGGUGCGUAGGUGGGCAGGUAAGUCAGUGGUGAAAUCUCCGAGCUUAACUCGGAAACUGCCGUUGAUACUAUUUGUCUUGAAUAUUGUGGAGGUAAGCGGAAUAUGUCAUGUAGCGGUGAAAUGCUUAGAUAUGACAUAGAACACCAAUUGCGAAGGCAGCUUACUACACAACGAUUACGCUGAGGCACGAAAGCGUGGGGAUCAAACAGG
rnacentral:rRNA from 1 species